rnacentral:lncRNA from 1 species
AUGCAGGGAGUGAGGUGCCAAUUGUGGCUGGAACUAUAGGAAGGAGCGGGCAGGCCAGAGCUGUUUCCCUGGGAUUCCAGAACAGAAGGCUGUGCCACACAGAGGUCCCCUGGGUCACAAUAGCAGCUGAAUCUCAGUGGCCAUGACAGCAAGGCAACAACGGGGCCAGCUCCCCAAGGUCCAUAUUUAUCUUAAUUCCAAGGCCAGAAUUCAGGUACCAGAAAUGGGUACUUUGCCCAGAUCAUCCCUGACAAAAAUAUUUGCCUAUUAACACAAUCUUACUACAACUAAAUAGAAAACAAAAACUGUUGACCUAUAAGAUAAAUGAAUCUUUCAAAGCAUUAUUUGGUUGCUCUACCUGAAGAAUACUAAAUUGUAACCCAGUCAUCCAGCAUGAGACUCUACCUGUAAACCUCGAAGGCUUAUUCCUGCCUAGAGCCCCAGGGAAGCAGCUUCCACCUCCACAUUCCAAGCUGCCAUGGAAACAACAAUGCUGCCUAUUCCACUACAGGCUUUGCGAGACUCCUCUGAAGACCUCCCUCCAGAGUCCACAGUUGCGAGACUCCUCUGAAGACCCCUAUCCAGAGUCCACAGUUGCGAGACUCCUCUGAAGACCCCUCUCCAGAGUCCACAGUUGACUUCCUCCUCAGAGUCCUACCACAGGAUUAAUUCCUGAAAUCUUUCCCAAAUCCAAACGUUAAGCAUUAUCUACAUCAGUCAAUGUCCUACUAAAAGUUUCCAUUACACAUGCUAUAAAUUUU